AUGGCGCGAGGAGUGGACGCCGAGCAGCAGCACCCCAUGGCGGAGCAGGUGAAGGAGUAUCAGGCGCGAUCCAAGCAAGCCUGGGCAACCGCAUCCUUCUUCUCCUCCACCUCCGCCUCCACGGCCGGCUCCUCGUGGGUUGAGGUGCUCCUCGUGAUAUGUGAACUUGCUUUGUAUGCUCUACUAGUGUUCGCGUGUAUUGCUUUUUAUUUCAGGUCCAUAGGAAUAGCUUUAUCCUUUACAUGUAUUUCUGCACUUCUUUAUCUGUGCAUGAGAUUAACCAAGGAAGAGAGGAAGCACAAGAAAAGUAAGCAAAGAAUGCUUCUUCCAUUGUCAAUGUAA
rnacentral:rRNA from 1 species